AGAAUCAACGCUGGUGGCGUGCCUAACACAUGCAAGUCGCACGAGAAAGGGUAGCAAUACCUGAGUACAGUGGCGCACGGGUGAGUAACACGUGAAUCAUCUACCUUCGAGUGGGGAAUAACUGAGAGAAAUCUUAGCUAAUACCGCAUAAUACCCACGGGUCAAAGCAGUAAUGCGCUUGAAGAGGAGUUCGCGGCAGAUUAGUUAGUUGGCGGGGUAAUGGCCCACCAAGACGAUGAUCUGUA
rnacentral:rRNA from 1 species